rnacentral:sRNA from 1 species
UGCAUCCAAAACGAUAAAAGCCCUGCCUCUCUUCUAUCCUUGCGGCUCCAAUGACCGCUCCAGUGUGAAUCGGAAAAUCUACAGCUUC